rnacentral:rRNA from 1 species
AGUCGCCGCGGUAAUACAGAGGGUGCGAGCGUUAAUCGGAUUUACUGGGCGUAAAGCGUGCGUAGGCGGCUUCUUAAGUCGGAUGUGAAAUCCCUGAGCUUAACUUAGGAAUUGCAUUCGAUACUGGGAAGCUAGAGUAUGGGAGAGGAUGGUAGAAUUCCAGGUGUAGCGGUGAAAUGCGUAGAGAUCUGGAGGAAUACCGAUGGCGAAGGCAGCCAUCUGGCCUAAUACUGACGCUGAGGUACGAAAGCAUGGGGAGCAAACAGGAUUAGAUACCCCCGUAGUCCCUGUCUCUUAUAAA